rnacentral:lncRNA from 10 species
CUGGCCCUGAGUCCAGGAACAAAACCAACAGCCCACAGCAGGAAGGACGGCAAGGAGGGGCUCCUGAGGCCACAGCCCCUGCUUCUGCCAGUGGACAUCUUCACCCCCUAGGACUCCUGUGUCCCCUUAGUACCGGCUCUGGGGGUGACGGUGAAAACAGGCGCAUCUGCCCCCAAGCCAUGGUGCAGAAGGGCCCCGGUGCUUGGUCUGAAGAGGAACUGGGAUUUUGUGCAGAAGCAGGGUAGCUACUAAUGAGGAGAAAAGAAAAUCAUCACAGUCAAAGCAAGUUCAACAAAAACUUAGCAUUUUGCUGCUAACUUACUCCAAGAAAACCUAAAAUCCUCAACUGGCUCAUUCGUCCUCCAAUACCUCUGAUGAAAAGGUAGAGAGACUUUUCCACUAAUUAUUUCAGCCACUGUGAAAAUAUGAAAGCUGACCUGGGAGAGAAGAUACAUAAUAAAAACAAACAAAAAACCUCACAGCCAGGGCUGACUUUGUCAAGGUUAGAGUUGCAAAACCUUUGUAAACACCUUUAAAAGUGCAAGAGUUCAGCCAGGCGCAGUGGCUCACGCCUGUAAUCCCCGCACUUUGAGAGGCCAAGGUGGGUGGAUCACCUGAUGUCACUCAGGAGUUUGAGACCAGCCUGUAAACAUGGUAAAACCCCAUCUCUACUAAAAAUACAAAAAUUAGCCGGGUAUGGCGGUGGGCGCCUGCAAUGCCAGCUACUUGGGAGGCUGACGCAGGAGAAUCUCUUGAACUUGGGAGGCAG